rnacentral:snRNA from 1 species
AGCUUUGUACAGUGGCAUUAUCGUAGCCAAUGAGGUUCAUCCGAGGUGCAAUUAUUGCUAAUUGAAAACUUAUUCAUCUGAGGGA